rnacentral:rRNA from 1 species
GGCGGACGGGUGAGUAACAUUUAGGAAUCCGCCUAGUAGUGGGGGAUAGCUCGGGGAAACUCGAAUUAAUACCGCAUACGACCUACGGGUGAAAGGGGGCGCAAGCUCUUACUAUUAGAUGAGCCUAAAUCAGAUUAGCUAGUUGGUGGGGUAAAGGCCCACCAAGGCGACGAUCUGUAACUGUCUGAGAGGAUGAUCAGUCACACCGGAACUGAGACACGGUCCGGACUCCUACGGGAGGCAGCAGUGGGGAAUAUUGGACAAUGGGGGCAACCCUGAUCCAGCCAUGCCGCGUGUGUGAAGAAGGCCUUUUGGUUGUAAAGCACUUUAAGCAGGGAGGAGAGGCUAAUGGUUAAUACCCAUUAGAUUAGACGUUACCUGCAGAAUAAGCACCGCCUAACUCUGUGCCAGCAGCCGCGGUAAUACAGAGGGUGCGAGCGUUACUCGGAAUACUGGGCGUAAAGCGAGUGUAGGUGGCUCAUUAAGUCACAUGUGAAAUCCCCGGGCUUAACCUGGGAACUGCAUGUGAUACUGGUGGUGCUAGAAUAUCUGAGAGGGAAGUAGAAUUCCAGGUGUAGCGGUGAAAUGCGUAGAGAUCUGGAGGAAUACCGAUGGCGAAGGCAGCUUC